CUGCCAGCUGUGCAAGGAGCACUACGCCGACCCGCUGGCGCUGGCGCAGCAUCGCUGCUCGCGCAUCGUGCGCGUCGAGUACCGCUGCCCCGAGUGCCACAAGAUCUUCAGCUGCCCCGCCAACCUCGCCUCGCACCGCCGCUGGCACAAGCCGCGCCCCGGCCCCGACGCCCGCAAGCGGGCGGCGGCGCCAAGCCGCUGGGCGAGUUCAUCUGCCAGCUGUGCAAGGAGGAGUACGCCGACCCCUUCGCGCUGGCGCAGCACAAGUGCUCGCGGAUCGUGCGCGUGGAGUACCGCUGCCCCGAGUGCGACAAGGUCUUCAGCUGCCCCGCCAACCUGGCCUCCCACCGCCGCUGGCACAAGCCGCGGCCCGCGCCGCCGCCCGCGCCCGAGCCGCCCAAGCCGGCGGAGGAGCAGAAGGAGGGUGGCGGAGGGGGCGGCGGCGGCAGCGGCAGCGAGCGGGACACGCCGAGCCCCGAGGGCGCGUCCGAGUCGGGCUCGGAGGAGGGUCUCUACGAGUGCCCGCGCUGCAGCAAGAAGUUCCGGCGCCAGGCCUACCUCCGCAAGCACCUGCUGGGCCACCCGGCCCGGGACCCGCCCGACGAGCCGGGCCCGCAGCCGCCGCCGCCGCAGCCGCCCGAGUGCCACGCCUGCCCGGUGUGCGGGGAGAGCUUCCCCGGCAAGAGCAGCCAGGAGCGCCACCUGCGCCUGCUGCACUCCUCCCAGGUCUUCCCCUGCAAGUACUGCCCGGCCACCUUCUACAGCUCGCCCGGCCUCACCCGGCACAUCAACAAGUGCCACCCGUCGGAGAACAGACAGGUCAUCCUGCUCCAGAUGCCCGUGCGCCCCGCCUGCUAGAGCCCGGGGCCAGCCCCAGCGCCGUGCCUUCGCCCCCGGGAGACCCCCGCCGCCGCCGCCGCCCGCCACGUGCCGCGCUCUGCCUUUCGCCCGCUUACAGCCGCUGCCCCCGGGUUCCCUUCGCCUGCCCGCCGCCCCGCCUCGCUGCACCCCCGGCCCUGGACAAGCGGGGCGCCCGGCGGGGGGGAUGCCAAACUCGUGCCCGUGGUGACUCCCGCCUCUCUGUAGCUCCCGCCGCCCCGGUUGAUUGCUAGUGUUGAUGGCGUUUUAAGGUCUCUUAGGAAGUCUCUGUCUCUCUGUCUCCCCUCUUCCCAUGUCUGUAGCCUACGGGUUGGCCUGCUUUCUGUUUUUUGGAAAGUCCGUCUCGAAGAAUCAAUGCCUUUCUCUCUCUCUCCUCUCUCUCUCUCUCUCUCUCACAGGCUGUAAAUUGAACUCCCUCCCCCUCCCUCAAUGAUUAGCUUUAUUAUGGCUUGUGAAAUGCUGGAAUCUGGCUUUACCUAUAUCUGAGGUUGGUCUUUUUUUUUUCCUUUCUUUCUUUCUUUCUUCUUCGUACGUGAACAAAUCAAACUGCUGAAGGGAAAAGCAAAGCAAAGCCGAGCUAAGAAGCACUGUCUUUGCGCAGCCACGAAUGCCUUGACUCUGCUCUCGCUGGUGCCCAGAGACUGCUGUAGAAAACUGCCUUAAACAGCCCCUGCCCCCCCCCACGCCCCCAGCCCAGCGCCUCUGACUAUAUGUAUAUGUUGAUUUGAGUAAUUAUGUUAUUUAUUCCUUAUUUAUUUAUAUUAAUGAUGAAGAUUAUUAUUUGAUGGCGAAUAUUUUUUAUUGCGCUUGCCCCCCACCCCUGCCCUCCCUCUUGCCAUUUCACUGUGCGUUUUACCAGGUCUUUCUGGUUUGUUUUGAUUCCCGGCCUCCUCUGUUUUUUUUCUAAAGGGAUCUGCUCAAAAAAGAAAAAAAGAAAAGAAAAGUAAAAGGUUUUAACUUUUAUACCUAAAAAAGAAAUCCGUCCCCCAGGGAUGAAACCAUUGGACUCCGCUUUCCCAGGGCACAGACAGCUCUCGUGCCGCCGCCCGCUCUCACUUUUAGAUGCAAUCUCUUUUCUACACACAUUAUUUUCUUAACUGUUAGCUAUUUAUAGGAUGGCUUGGAUAGAACUGUUUCGACUGUAUAACUAUUUACUAUUCAAAUAAAAUAUUUUCCAAUUCAAAGG
rnacentral:lncRNA from 1 species